GCAUCGAUAGCUCAGUGGCAGAGCGGUGGGGCGUUUACCCUUGCGGCCCGGGUUCGAUUCCCGGUCGAUGAA